UCGCUGCCCCCACCCUCUCCCUCGGCUCCAGCCGCUGCCCCCACCCUCUCCCUCGGCUCCGGCCGCCUCCCCACACUCCAACCACGGAUCGAGCCGCCGCGGUUGCCCUGCACCAGAUCGCGUCGCCCAGAACCACCCGUCGCCACCACGUCCUCCCCGCGCUGCCGCUAUCUCUCCUUGCUCCGCCGCCAGCCGAGCACCUCCUCACCUCCAUUGUUGUUCAGCACUUCCUCCAGUUCCUCCGAUGGGGGCUGCGCUCAUCCACUCCUACUGCUGACCCAGCUCACUCCAAUCCCUCCACCACGCUACCUCCUCCCGUUGGUGAGCCUCCGUUGAUGUAGCACCCCAGCCGUUCACUGUGGCCACCCCGGGCCGUUCAACAAGACAGCAAGCACAUGUUUUCAGAAUCCAGCAGUAAAGCUGGUGCUCUGUCUUCCACUCUUCCGUUCAUCGUCUAGGCACUGUCCGACUGCGAAGAUGGAGUCCUACUCCUACGCAAACGGGCCAAAUUUGAUUGCUUGCUGUUUGACAUGGAUGAUACCCUCUACCCACUAAGCUUAGGGAUCAACUUAGCCUGCCGCAAGAACAUCCAAGGUAAGUACAGUAGUACAGUAAUAAACUUACACCAAUCCUCUGUUUUCAUGCUACAGAAUUCGUGUGCUCAUACUACUUGUAUCUACCAAAUCGCAUACUACAUGCUGAACAAGCUUCAGGUCGAGGAGGGCCUGAUCCCCAAGAUGUGCUUGGAUUUGUACAAAGAAUAUGGAAUUAAGAUGGCUGCUUCUGUGUGUGUGUGUGUGUGUGUGUGUGUGUGUGUGUGUGUGUGUGGAUAUGUGUUAACUGGUGGCCGGUGGUGUGUGUGUGUGUGUGUGCAGGGUACUGCCGGAGAUAAGUAGUAAGUGGCAAAGUGUCUUGAGGCAGCAGCAAGACGAGGCAUAAAGCUGGCGAGCAGGUAUGAGCAGCGAGCUGCUACUAGAACUUGUCGUGCCAUCGUGUAGGGCCAGCAUCGAGGGGACGGGGACUUGUUGUAAUGCUUUACAUCAAUCUUCUGUUGGCAGUUAGACAAAGAAUAGUAGCAAGUCCAAGCUCUCUUUGAGUGGAGCUAUGUAAAAAUGUUUCAGCAGCUCGACGAAUAGCUCGAUUUCACUAGUCUCCUGUUUUGCUGUCGAUCCCGGCCUUGGCGUCCAUGAGCGCGAGCACCCCGUAUCCGGUGGCGAGAUGAAGGCCACCCGUGAUCCCUGCUUCCCGUCAUCACCUCCUCCUCGUGUGAGUUCACUGCCGAGAACAAGCACGGCCACCUACAGUUCCUGGUGGUCGCCUUGGCCACCCUCGGCCAGGAGUUCGUCCACCAUGGUUACUGGCAGCCGUCCAAGUGGAGCGCGGACAUCAGUCCAAGUAGAAUCACAGCCACCAUCUUCACCAAGCGUUGCACAGUUGUCCAAGUCGAGCACAUACAACAGUCCAAGGUCACUCGUCUGAAGGGUCCACAACAUAUGUUUCAGAAGAUCAGUACCAUCAUUGCAAACAGAUCAGUACCAUCAUUACAAAAAGUUUCUUUGAUUUUAUACGUAAGCAAAUCCUUGGAUCUCGGGAAGAUAUAAAGCGUAUGCACAAGAUGGAUUUGGGAUGCAUACAGAUUCUCAUUUCUUGUCCUCACGUUACUCCCUGAUGGAAUAGGACAGACAAACCUUGAGGGCAUGGACUACUACAACAAUUUGAUAGACGAGCUGAUACUACAUUGCCUCACCCAACACCUCCCCUAGCGAGUCGCCACCCAGCCCCUUCCUCCAUGGCUCACCUCCUCUCCCUCCACCCCCGAGGUCCUCCCCUGCAAGUCCACGUUGGAGUGCCGUCUUUCGCAGCAGAGCGGAUGACCAGGGACACGAGUCCCUGCUGGAGCGCUCCUUCUCAACCAGCAAUCAUGAUCUUGAGAGGCUCGCUGUCAAGACUAAAGGUCUUCCCCUGGCUCCCGCCCCUCCUCCGAUGUCAUCCACUUUGAAGACACUGACGCACCCCAUCAGGUCAUGGAGCAAGCAUGGGAAAAAAGGGACUCGCAUCCCGCUGUCGUGCAAGCCCUGCUUCCCGCUGGCGCCCAUCUCCACGUUAGUUCGAUCUGGGCUCUGCCCUGCUCGUGCAACCCAUCGUCGCCGGCAGCCGCUGUGGCCUCGUGCCUAGCGCUCUCUGUGCGCAACGCCUAGGCCAUUCACUGCCUCCACACAAGGCCGUUUGACGACGCAAUGCUCAAGCAGUUCACCCUUACCACCACAAGUCGUUAACCUCCGCCACACGGGGCCGUGCGACAAUGCAGCAAUCAGGCCAUUCACCUCUGCCACCGCCCUGCACCUCGACGUCGAGCAUGGCCCUCCCGUGAGAGAUCGGAGAGAUAAGGCGCUCCUACCACCUUCUUCCCCGUGGAUCCAGCUCCUGUUCCCCGUCGACAGCAGGAGACACGAGGUCGCCUCCGGCGCUGCUGGUGGCGUGAAGGCCGUCAAAUGGUAAAUUUCCGACCCUUGUAACCUCAGGUGAUAUAUUUGGACACUUGCCUCGUCAGUACAACAGCACGCUCCACAGCCGGUCAGGAGAAGAGUUGCAUGCAGGCCACCCUCUGCUCCGUCCUCGAUCCGGCGCAGUCAUCUCCCUCUCAUCCUCUCUCUGCUCCGUGUGUGUGUGUGCAGGGAGUGGAAGGAGAUAGUGCAGGGGAGUGGGAGGUCCUUCCAUGGUGAAUUCAUAGGCAUCUUCCAUGGAGAUUGUGAACUCUCUCGAUUAUUGCUUGAGGAUUUAUGUUGGUCUGUCCUCUAUAGUUCUUGUAUAGUGGCGUCCUCUUUUUCUAGUGUUUCUCUUUUGAUGUUGUUGCAGGUGUUUAAUAACCCACUGAUAUGAUUUCUGGAAACAAGCUUCAGUAUAGAGAAGCUUCGGUACGAGAAAAAAUGGGUCAUCACUUCAUCCAUAUGCAACCUCCUGCGUGGUCGUACAUUUUUAUUUGGAUCUACUCGCUGUGUGGUCAUCCAUAUGUGUAUUGUGUUGUCAGGUCGUGUGCAAGUUUGUUACAAGUUCA